CUUGUGUGUCUCAUAAGUAAUUUAGUUUCCAAUUGAAGAACAACUUCGGUUAGGCUGAUAUUAGUUCUCCGCGUUCCUUUGCCAGCUCUUAAGGAAUCAAUCCACGGAUCAUGAACCAGAAAAAUUUAAUUGGGGUUACAGAUUGAGUGAUGAUCGCACACUAUCUCAAAGUGGUUUCAUAAAGGAAUUGGAGGAUGGCACUCGGGUAUUGGUGAUUACCGGCUAUUACAGCUUCAUUGCUCCCCCAUUGCACGAAAUACACCGUCGUUUAUAACGCUGGUGAGAACGGUUAUCACCAUGUAGUUACCGUCGGUUAAGUUACGCCACCAUUACUUGAAUUGGACCACAAAAUGCUUCUAUCUCUUGAAGGGCGAAGGUUAACUGUUACAAUUUUAUUCUUGUUUAAAGUAUACAAUUGUGCGAUUGAUCAUAUUUCCAAUGUUGCAUAUCGUGUGAAUAAUUUAUCAUAAUUCUUGUCUUUUAUGCCUAACGAAAAUCCAAGUGGAAUUCUCUACGUGUCUCUCUUAUACGCAAACGACUGAUCAGAGUGUUGGAUAACUUGGUUGGAAAGGGAAUCGCAUGGUCUGGCCCAAGUGAAUGUGGUUAUCAACAACUUGUACUUGAACGUUUAAUUGGCUUACCAGAAGGCAUUGGAAAAACCCAGAUCCACGGAAAUUUGUUUUCGCUAGUUCACUUCCUUUGUAUCCUCCACCUUCCAUUCCUGGUGCUUGUUUUGUUAGCGAAAAUGAUGUCAUCGGAACCGAGAAACGAUGA